rnacentral:rRNA from 1 species
AGUGAACGCUGGCGGUAGGCCUAACACAUGCAAGUCGAACGGCAGCACAGUAAGAGCUUGCUCUUACGGGUGGCGAGUGGCGGACGGGUGAGGAAUACAUCGGAAUCUACUUUUUCGUGGGGGAUAACGUAGGGAAACUUACGCUAAUACCGCAUACGACCUACGGGUGAAAGCAGGGGAUCUUCGGACCUUGCGCGAUUGAAUGAGCCGAUGUCGGAUUAGCUAGUUGGCGGGGUAAAGGCCCACCAAGGCGACGAUCCGUAGCUGGUCUGAGAGGAUGAUCGGCCACACUGGAACGGAGACACGGUCCAGACUCCUACGGGAGGCAGCAGUGGGGAAUAUUAGACAAUGGGCGCAAGCCUGAUCCAGCCAUACCGCGUGGGUGAAGAAGGCCUUCGGGUUGUAAAGCCCUUUUGUUGGGAAAGAAAAGCAGCAGGUUAAUACCCCGCUGUUCUGACGGUACCCAAAGAAUAAGCACCGGCUAACUUCGUG